UCAUUAUAAAUAUAUAGCAGUGGAUUCUACCCCGCUGAUCUUGUUAGUGGCAGAGGCCUUGCUAAAUUUUUGCUCACCUGCAUUGCAAAGAUAAAGAAAUGUUCUGUCAGGUUAAUUCAUUCCAAGUUUCUAUCUAUGAUGCGAUGUUUGGUUUUUCAAAUCUCCUUCGAAUUCAAGCACACAUAACCAAUUGCAUGCUCCAGAGCCGUGAUCAUUAUUGUUUGACAUCUAUGACAGUGGAUACUCCAGUGGUUAAUUCCGAUAAUCUUUAUUCUUGUCCCC
rnacentral:lncRNA from 1 species